GACGAACGCUGGCGGCGUGCUUAACACAUGCAAGUCGAACGGAAAGGCCCUGCUUUUGUGGGGUGCUCGAGUGGCGAACGGGUGAGUAACACGUGAGUAACCUGCCCUUGACUUUGGGAUAACUUCAGGAAACUGGGGCUAAUACCGGAUAGGAGCUCCUGCUGCAUGGUGGUGGUUGGAAAGUUUCGGCGGUUGGGGAUGGACUCGCGGCUUAUCAGCUGGUUGGUGGGGUAGUGGCUUACCAAGGCUUUGACGGGUAGCCGGCCUGAGAGGGUGGCCGGCGACAAUGGGACUGAGAGACGGCCCAGAAUCCAACGGGAGGCAGCAGUGGGGAAUAUUGCACAAUGGGCGGAAGCCUGAUGCAGAAACGCCGCGUGCGGGAUGACGGCCUUCGGGUUGUAAACCGCUGUCGCCUGUGACGAAGCGUGAGUGACGGUAAUGGGUAAAGAAGCACCGGCUAACUACGUG
rnacentral:rRNA from 1 species